rnacentral:rRNA from 1 species
GAUCAAGCGACUAAGUGCAUAUGGUGGAUGCCUUGGCGAUCACAGGCGAUGAAGGACGUAGUAGCCUGCGAAAAGCUACGGGGAGCUGGCAAACAAGCUUUGAUCCGUAGAUGUCCGAAUGGGGAAACCCACUGCGCAAGCAGUAUCCCUGGCUGAAUACAUAGGCCAGUGGAGGCGAACCGGGUGAACUGAAACAUCUCAGUAGCUCGAGGAAAAGAAAUCAACCGAGAUUCCGAAAGUAGUGGCGAGCGAAAUCGGAAGAGCCUUUACGUUUUAGCACGCAAG